rnacentral:rRNA from 1 species
CCUACGGGAGGCAGCAGUGAGGAAUAUUGGUCAAUGGACGAGAGUCUGAACCAGCCAAGUAGCGUGAAGGAUGACUGCCCUAUGGGUUGUAAACUUCUUUUAUAUGGGAAUAAAAUGUUCCACGUGUGGGAUUUUGUAUGUACCAUAUGAAUAAGGAUCGGCUAACUCCGUGCCAGCAGCCGCGGUAAUACGGAGGAUCCAAGCGUUAUCCGGAUUUAUUGGGUUUAAAGGGAGCGUAGGUGGAUUGUUAAGUCAGUUGUGAAAGUUUGCGGCUCAACCGUAAAAUUGCAGUUGAAACUGGCAGUCUUGAGUACAGUAGAGGUGGGCGGAAUUCGUGGUGUAGCGGUGAAAUGCUUAGAUAUCACGAAGAACUCCGAUUGCGAAGGCAGUUCACUGGACUGCAACUGACACUGAGGCUCGAAAGUGUGGGUAUCAAACAGGAUUAGAUACCCCUGUAGUC